rnacentral:rRNA from 1 species
GGCCAGACUCCUACGGGAGGCAGCAGUCGAGAAUCAUUCACAAUGGGGGGAACCCUGAUGCAGCGACGCCGCGUGGGUGAAGAAGCGCCUCGGCGCGUAAAGCCCUGUCAGCAGGGAAGAAAAUGACGGUACCUGAAGAAGAAGCCCCGGCUAACUACGUGCCAGCAGCCGCGGUAAUACGUAGGGGGCAAGCGUUAUCCGGAUUUACUGGGUGUAAAGGGGGCGCAGACGGCGAUGCAAGCCAGGAGUGAAAGCCCGGGGCCCAACCCCGGGACUGCUCUUGGAACUGCGUGGCUGGAGUGCAGGAGGGGCAGGCGGAAUUCCUGGCGUAGCGGUGAAAUGCGUAGAUAUCAGGAGGAACACCGGUGGCGAAGGCGGCCUGCUGGACUGCAACUGACGUUGAGGCCCGAAAGCGUGGGGAGCAAACAGGAUUAGAUACCCUGGUAGG